rnacentral:rRNA from 1 species
UACGAGGGGUCCAAGCGUUGUUCGGAAUUACUGGGCGUAAAGCGGGUGUAGGUGGACUGAUCAGUCGGAUGUGAAAGCCCUGGGCUCAACCCAGGAAGUGCAUCCGAUACUGUCAGUCUUGAGUACUGGAGAGGGAAGUGGAAUUCCUGGUGUAGCGGUGAAAUGCGUAGAUAUCAGGAGGAACAUCGGUGGCGAAAGGCGGCUUCCUGGCAUGUACUGACACUCAGACCCGAAAGCGUGGGUAGCAAACAGGGAUUAGAUACCCCGGUAGUCC